CAGUAGCCGCGGUAAUACGAAGGGUGCAAGCGUUACUCGGAAUUACUGGGCGUAAAGCGUGCGUAGGUGGUGGUUUAAGUCCGUUGUGAAAGCCCUGGGCUCAACCUGGGAAUUGCAGUGGAUACUGGGUCACUAGAGUGUGGUAGAGGAUAGUGGAAUUUCCGGUGUAGCAGUGAAAUGCGUAGAGAUCGGAAGGAACAUCUGUGGCGAAGGCGACUAUCUGGGCCAAUACUGACACUGAGGCACGAAAGCGUGGGGAGCAAACAGGAUUAGAUACCCCAGUAGUCCCUGUCUCUUAUAA
rnacentral:rRNA from 1 species